rnacentral:rRNA from 1 species
GAUGAACGCUAGCGGCAGGCUUAACACAUGCAAGUCGAGGGGUAUAGGUUUUCGGACCUAGAGACCGGCGCACGGGUGCGUAACGCGUAUGCAAUCUACCUUUCACAGAGGGAUAGCCCAGAGAAAUUUGGAUUAAUACCUCAUAGUAUAGCAGUUUCGCAUGAAACCACUAUUAAAGUAUCAACGGUGAAAGAUGAGCAUGCGUCCCAUUAGCUAGAUGGUAAGGUAACGGCUUACCAUGGCUACGAUGGGUAGGGGUCCUGAGAGGGAGAUCCCCCACACUGGUACUGAGACACGGGCCAGACUCCUACGGGAGGCAGCAGUGAGGAAUAUUGGUCAAUGGACGCAAGUCUGAACCAGCCAUGCCGCGUGCAGGAUGACGGUCCUAUGGAUUGUAAACUGCUUUUGUACGAGAAGAAACAACAUUACGUGUAAUGUCUUGACGGUAUCGUAAGAGUAAGGAUCGGCUAACUCCGUGCCAGCCGCCGCGGUAAGAC